AUGUUGCUGGUGUCUGGUCACCAUACACGCCUCAAGCACACUACAGACCAGAUCUUUGGUUAUCUAGGUUCCAGGGUAGAGAUCGUGCGGCAUGUGAAAGUAUUCAUUAAUGGAGUUUUCCAGGUAUCCAGGUUUCCCAUUAAGGUCUUGCCUUAUGUACAGGUUCCUGUCAAGACCUCACAGUGACCCUAACAAGGAUCAUUAGUGGGAACAUUGCUGAUGUCCAGGAAAGUGAUGAAAGUGGGCCUAAACCACAGCAUAGACC
rnacentral:lncRNA from 1 species